rnacentral:rRNA from 1 species
UACGUAGGGGGCAAGCGUUGUCCGGAAUCAUUGGGCGUAAAGCGCGUGUAGGCGGCCAGAAAAGUCCGCUGUGAAAACUCGAGGCUCAACUUCGAGCUGUCGGUGGAAACUUUCUGGCUAGAGUCCGGAAGAGGAGAAUGGAAUUCCUGGUGUAGCGGUGAAAUGCGCAGAUAUCAGGAAGAACACCAAUGGCGAAAGCAGCUCUCUGGGACGGUACUGACGCUGAGACGCGAAAAGCGUGGGGAGCGAACAGG